rnacentral:rRNA from 1 species
GACGAACGCUGGCGGCGUGCUUAACACAUGCAAGUCGAGCGAUGAAACACCUUCGGGUGCGGAUUAGCGGCGAACGGGUGAGGAACACGUGAGGAAUCUGCCUUCCACUCUGGGAUAACUCCGGGAAACCGGGGCUAAUACCGGAUACUUUCAACUGGCGGCAUCGCCGGUUGAAGAAAGUUUUUCGGUGGAAGAUGACCUCGCGGCCUAUCAGCUUGUUGGUGAGGUAAAGUCUCACCAAGGCGACGACGGGUAGCCGGCCUGAGAGGGCGACCGGCCACACUGGGACUGAGACACGGCCCAGACACCUACGGGAGGCAGCAGUGGGGAAUAUUGGGCAAUGGAGGAAACUCUGACCCAGCGACGCCGCGUGAGGGAUGAAGGCCUUCGGGUUGUAAACCUCUUUCAGCAGGGGAUAAGCGAAAGUGAAGGUACCUGCAGAAGAAGCACCGGCUAACUAUGUGCCAGCCGCCGCCGUAA